UACAGAGGGGGCAAGCGUUAUUCGGAAUUAUUGGGCGUAAAGGGCGCGUAGGCGGCAUUGCAAGUGGAAGGUGAAAUCCCUCGGCUUAACCGAGGAACUGCCCUCCAACUGCGUUGCUUGAGGCCGGGAGAGGUGAGUGGAAUUCCCAGUGUAGCGGUGAAAUGCGUAGAUAUUGGGAGGAACACCAGUGGCGAAGGCGGUUAGCUGGGGCAGUUGCUGACACUGAGGCGCGACAGCGUGGGGGAGCAAACAG
rnacentral:rRNA from 1 species